UUUGUUUUUCAGGACUUCUCAAUCUCGAAAUAAAUCUUAUUAUAAACAAAAGGGUGAUAAGUUCUUCGAUAGCGCACGCGAAAGUGGACCUAAGGGAUUUUAGAAGUCAAAACACCGAAGAUGAACACGGAGGGCUAUCACUAAAGUAAAAUGCUGGAUAAACACUUGGGGAUGUUUCGCCUAACUGGCACUUGCGACAUUCCCAAAUAUUUCUCGCUGAACAGUGCUGAUACAUCUGUAUGUUACAAAAGAAUACAGGAACAAAACUGUUACAUCAUCAUCAGGAGCACAAUCUGUGGUCAUCUCUGUUAACAACACCGUAUAUAUGCCUUGCAGCUUUUACCACGACGACAAGACGGUGAGGUACAGCAGAAUGGUACAACAGCCACAUGGACUCCCAAGUAUGCAUUGAUUUCAGAAAUCGGGACCUGUGGACCACAAGGAAAUAGGAUUUUUAGUCAUUUGUAAGAGUUCAGAAGAAGCUGCAGGAAAACAAGUCAUUUUCUACAGCAAUAUAGUGUAUCGAAAAAUCUCAACUAGGUGAUGACAAUGUUAGCGAAUUGAGGUACAAAAUAUUUUCUAGCUCCAACUAAGUCUAGUAUAACACUAGUUCAUUUGGCAAACGGAUGAAAAGAAAUUACCUGCAACUAAAACUGCGAGUUGCUGAGGAAUGUGACCAUGCAUCGCGAGCUUUGAAACAUUUUGUCGAUCUUCUGCCAGACCUUGCUCUGGACGUCUAGAAGUUUCCUCACUUUCUCCUGUAGCGUCGAGUGGCGCCGUAUUGUUUCACCAUGUAUCUGGUUCCAAGGAAGAUGAAAUAUACUUUAAGCACCAACUCAAUGGGUUUAAGAUGGAAAAUACUAUCACAUACCUUCAGAAACAAUUUCAGAACAGCUUGAACAAACUCGAAGUUGUUCCUGCAGGAAAGCUCAUGAAUGAAGUAGUCCAGCAGCAAUGAAAUGGAAUGGAGCUCGGGUCUUGGUUCCUCAGACUCUUCCACCUCGUCGUCAUCUAUUAUCUGUAGCAUCCGUAGUUCCAUAUCUAAGGAUGACGGAGAUAGGCCUUUUAGGUAGUCGGUGAACGCUGAAUCUGCAAAACAGAUUCCAAGGUCAGUGCUUACUAUGACGAAGAUUGCAGCUU
rnacentral:lncRNA from 1 species